ensembl:lncRNA
CUGUUAUUUCAAAGCUCUGUUUUAGUGGUCUGUUGUUACGUUUGGGAAGCCCCCGGGGUGGGAAGAAAGACUAAAGUUGGUCUCCAAAAGAACCUUGGGUGAGUGAGAAGAGGAUCCCGGUGAAUCCAGAGCCUAUUUCAGGAACACUGAGCAUGAGCCAGGAAUGGAAGAGAGGUGUGAUGAAUUCAAAGAAACAAGAGGAAACCCAUGUCGACACCAGGAAAACAUGCACAGAAACUCUGCACAGACAGCAACCCGAGUUCAGGAUCGAACCCAGAAACCUGGAAUUGUGAGGCAGCAAUGCGACCACUUUUUUUUUUCCAAAUGUUAUUGUUGUUGUUUUUUUAAAUAAAAAAAAAAAAAAACAUUUCAUGGUAAGGGAACCCAGUGCACAUUCUGAUUUUAUUCAUACAAAAAGAAUGCUCCCUUUCCUCUGAAGCACAGCAUAUACUACAUCUCGCAGUGUGUGGAGAAUCACAGGUUAAGGAAGAGAGGUGAUUUGUAAUUUAGUGGGAGGAUGAGCCAGGGUAUACUGUCUGAGCAAAUUCCAUACUAGUGAAGUACAUCCCUUGUUAAAGCAGUUUCAGCCA